rnacentral:rRNA from 1 species
ACCUGCGGAAGGAUCAUUGUCGUGACCCUAACAAAAAUAGACUGUGAAUUUGUCAUCCAAGCCGUUGGGUGACGGUGCCAGCACCGUCUCUCGGCAUAGGCCAUUUUCCGUCUGACGGAGGGGAUGUGGCCCAAAAGAACCCACGGCGCCGUAUGGCGUCAAGGAACACUAUGCUGCAUGCUCAGGGCCACGAUCGGCGUGCUGAACGAGUCCUGCGCUGCUAUGCUACCUGAAUGUAUAAGACUCUCGGCAACGGAUAUCUUGGCUCUCGCAUCGAUGAAGAACGUAGCAAAAUGCGAUACCUGGUGUGAAUUGCAGAAUCCCGUGAACCAUCGAGUUUUUGAACGCAAGUUGCGCCUGAGGCCUCUUGGUUGAGGGCACGUCUGCCUGGGCGUCACGCCAAAUGACACUCCCUUGCAGUCCUUGCGUGGGAUGUGGUGUCUGGCCUUCCAUUCUCUGCUUAUAAGGUGUGGUAGGCUAAAGGAAGUGGCUGCUGGCUAUGGUGCCAGUCACAGCUCUUGGUGGAUGACACAUGUUGUUCUCGAAGUUUGUGACUUGUACCGAUUCCGGAAGUUGGCCCUUUGGACCCAUGGAUUGAGCAUCNAUUGCNGCRUCGCGACCCCAGGUC